CAAACGUUGGGGAGGCCUCGUCCUCUGGCACAGGCCAUUGCUCAGGAACCACCGUGGGCGCACUAAACGGCCCAAGGGAUGCCAUCCACUGCUGCAGCCAAAUGAUGCCGCGCUACCUCACUGCCACACAAACACCCGCAAGGAAUUCUUCAACAGAAUCCAUCUGAAAAAGAAAGAAAAAACCUACCCAAACUUGAGAGACAAC